CCCUUAGAUGUUCUGGGCUGCACGCGCGCUACACUGAUACAGCCAAAGAGAUAUUUUUGCCUAUCGGCUGAGAGAAAUCUUGUGAAUCUGUAUCGUGAUGGGAACAAACGAUUGCAAUUAUUCGUUUCGAACGAGGAAUUCCUAGUAAGCGUGAGUCAUCAGCUCAUGCUGAUUACGUCCCUGCCCUUUGUACACACCGCCCGUCGCUCCUACCGAUUGAAUGUUCCGGUGAGCUCUUCGGACUGCGCGGUCUGCAGUUUCUGCGUUCCGUGCGGAAAGUUGCGCAAACCUUAACAUUUAGAGGAAGGAGAAGUCGUAACA
rnacentral:rRNA from 1 species